UAAUACGUAGGCAGCAAACGUUGUUCGGAAUUACUGGGCGUAAAGAGUGUGUAGGCGGUUCUGCAAGUUUGGUGUGAAAUCUCCCGGCUUAACUGGGAGGGUGCGCCGAAAACUGCAAAGCUAGAGUACUGGAGAGGAAAGCGGAAUUCCUGGUGUAGCGGUGAAAUGCGUAGAUAUCAGGAGGAACACCGGUGGUGUAGACGGCUUUCUGGACAGUAACUGACGCUGAGACACGAAAGCGUGGGGAGCAAACAGGAUUAGAUACCCUGGUAGUCCACGCCCUAAACGAUGCAUACUUGGUGUGGGUCAUUCACUUGAUCUGUGCCGGAGCUAACGCGUUAAGUAUGCCGCCUGGGGAGUACGGUCGCAAGGCUG
rnacentral:rRNA from 1 species